GACGAACGCUGGCGGCGUGCCUAAUACAUGCAAGUUGAGCGAUGAAGAUUGGUGCUUGCCCCAAUUUGAAGAGCAGCGAACGGGUGAGUAACGCGUGGGGAAUCUGCCUUUGAGCGGGGGACAACAUUUGGAAACGAAUGCUAAUACCGCAUAACAACUUUAAACAUAAGUUUUAAGUUUGAAGGAUGCAAUUGCAUCACUCAAAGAUGAUCCCGCGUUGUAUUAGCUAGUUGGUGAGGUAAAGGCUCACCAAGGCGAUGAUACAUAGCCGACCUGAGAGGGUGAUCGGCCACAUUGGGACUGAGACACGGCCCAAACUCCUACGGGAGGCAGCAGUAGGGAAUCUUCGGCAAUGGACGAAAGUCUGACCGAGCAACGCCGCGUGAGUGAAGAAGGUUUUCGGAUCGUAAAACUCUGUUGGUAGAGAAGAACGUUGGUGAGAGUGGAAAGCUCAUCAAGUGACGGUAACUACCCAGAAAGGGACGGCUAACUACGUG
rnacentral:rRNA from 1 species